ensembl:lncRNA
GAGUAGAAAGUAAUAUUAAAUAAAUUCUAACAACAGCUUAUCAAGCUUAAACGUGCUGGUGUUGUUCAGCCGCUGGUUUCCUCUUUCUUGGUGCAAAUGGGCCAAAAGCAAACUAGAGACACGACUCGCGACAGAAAAGCCGAUCAGCUGAUCAUUAAGCAGUUUCAUGAUUGAAGUAGCAGCAGCAGAAGAGGCAGUCGCUCCAUAUAUCGUUUGUUAAGCUUAACGCAGGAAUGCUUUACAAACAUUCAGAGAUGGACUUACACACUUGCUUUACUUCUCUCGGGGAUAACUUUGUCGGAGAUGAAAUGCCGGGUUGCUAGCGAAGCUCCAAAUGCUAUCCAGACCACCGACAGGUCCUGCAUGCCACAGCCGCUCUAUCACGUGAUGCAUACUGCUCCGACGUGCUAACGUUCUGAGAGGCGGCGGCAAGAGGGGAGACCUCGGAUCAUCCAGCUGGAGAGCUUGACCAGGAGGAGUCAAACAUUAACUCGGUUCUUCCAGGGCACCCUGCAGACUUAGCUGCUGGCAUUGGCGAGGGAGUGCAGCUGCCACUGGGAUGACGUGAACGCCAAACAGGAGUCCAUCGCAGGUCAACUGAAGCUCCUUGUCUUAGAGUGGGAGGGAUUUGAAGCACAAAGGGAGGACCUUGUCAUUUGGUUGGCUGAUACGGAUGUCCGCCUGAGUGAGGUUGACCAGCUGACAAGAAACACCUAUGAAAAACUGAAACAACUGCAGGUGUGGGGUUGUUUUGAUAUGACA